rnacentral:ncRNA from 1 species
CUUAUCAAGAGCGACGGAGGGAACAGGCCCUGUGAAGUCCGGCAACCUGCAAUGCAAGGUGCUAAAUCCUGCGGUUUAACCGAAAGAUGAG